CAUUGUCAUCAGCUCCACGCAUCUCAGCAACGGACACUUUCGCAACAUCAAGGGAGUUUUCCGGGGCCCUCUCAGCAAGAACGGGAACAAAACUCUGUUUUCAGGCCUGCCAUUCUUGGUGUUGAUUGUGGCAAUUGAAAAUACCACUUUCAGAUCAAAUAAUAAUGCAUAGAAGAAGAAGCGACAUCAUCUGUUCCUGUUAUCAUCAGAGUUACCCUCUCGCCCUCCAUCUAUUGGCCAGAAUUGGGUGGACGGACCUCUCCCUGGCAAUAAAAAGGAGAUAGCCAUGGGUGAUGUAGCUGGCUCAUGGUCAUCUCAAUCUUAUGGAAUAGAAUGGAUGUUGAUCAUCUACAAUGUCAAAAAAAUAGAGGGAAAAAAAACAGACAAAUAGGAAAAAAAUCUAAAAUGGUUUACUGAGGGAAUAGAUCUGUCUAAUGGUUCUGUAAAACAUUUAGAAUUGCAAGGUAUUACAAUCUUAAAAUGUUACAAUCUGGAUUUAUGUAUUUUUAGCUAUUUCUAUUACACUCUAAGGCAAAAAUUCACUAUUAUAAGUAAUAGCUAAAGUUGUAUUGCUAAAAUAAUGCCCCAAAUGAGAUGGAAUAAAAUACUCUGUGGUGGGAGAAAGGCCUCUCUCUACUACCUAAAAAAAAAAACUACAACUAUGGCUAAAUUCUGUAUUUUUUGCUAUUAUACUGGUAAGCUCCACUUUAGGAUUUUGUGAUUCUUCAUCCUCUUUUUAUGGGAAUUCUGUCUUUUUGCUUCAUCACAGUCUUGCAUAAGAUUAAAACCUAGUGAAUUGCUUCUGGCUGUAAUGUUAACUAAUUUACACUACCUGGCUCUCAUAACGAAAAAAAUCCAAACCCACUGCCAUCGAGUCCAUUCUAACUCAUAGCAACCCUGGUCUCAACCAAAUAAGCUCCCUGUGUGACUCUCUGGAUGGUCUGGAGAUCUGGAUAUUUAUUUAUUUUUAAAAACAGUCAAGUGCACAAUAAUAAAUAAUAAAUUUAUUAAACUACAGAUUUGCCCCUUUUAUUGUUUUUAUUGUAACAAUUUUCUAGGAUGUUAUAAAUCCAUGAACUGUGUAAAUAUAUAUUUUAUAACAUUCUAGAAAAUUGUUUCCUUAAAAAAGUGGAAGUUUUGUAAGUGGUUGUAUAUUACAAUGCUUAAAAAGAAGACUUUUUAUAGAAUCUAUAAAAAUAUAAAUACUCUUCAAUUAAUCAAAAUUAUUUGAGUGGUUUUGAUUACAGGCGUUAUGAAAAUCAGACUAUGAAUCACACUGGCAUUUCCAGCAUUAUUGUUCAUCACAGAAGUAAGAUUAAUUCAGGAAUAAUUUUUAUUAUAAUUUACUUUUAUAAUUCAAAUCAAUUUCUCCCUAUCCACUAUUUCUGAUUAAGAUAGAAAUACUUUAUACUUAAAAGUCACCAUAGCGGCUUUGCAAUGUUUGACAAGUACUUGAAAGAGGUGAGAGAGCAAGGAACACAUGCCUGACUUCUUCAAGUUAAACGUUCUGAUUCUGGGACAGAAGGAAGGAAAGGAAUAGCUAACAAAGUCCCUCUCAUGCCACCACCCAGAAAUUAAAGAGAGCCCGAAAAAUGCUAGGACUCUGAGUUGAAUUUUACCAACAAGAAAGAGCUGGUAUUGAAGUGACAUGAUCCUUGGCCAACAUUGGCUUACUAAGUAAGGGUAAUUCUGUGGGAGAUGUCUCCCUUGGAUACAAGGGUAGGGAAGUAUAUCAUCUCCAGAGAAUUUUAAAAUAAUGAUAAAGCCCAGGCUCAGGUCCUGAACAAUGUCAGUGAUAAAAUACUCCUCUCUUCUAAAUAUAUUUUAUUGAUUAAAGUUGUAAGCAAUUGCUAUUUUUUUACUGUUGAGUCUUGAUAAUAUGCAUGUAAGUUUUAAGGUACACACAUAUUUAUUACUUAUCCUUUAAUAUAGUGGUUAAGCACUUGGCUGCUAACCAAAAAGUCUAUGGUUUGAACCUGUCAGCCACUUUGCAGGAGAAAGAUAUGACAGUCUGCUUCUGUAAAGAUUACAGCGUUGGAAACCCUAUGGGGCAGUUCUACUCUGUCCUGCAGGAUCACUAUGAGAUGGAAUCAACUCGAUGGCAGUGAGUUUGUUUUUGUUUUUUUGGUGUUUCCUUUAAUAAAUAUUGUAUUGCACAUAGAUGUUAAUUUGGUGAACUACCAUCUAUACAACGAGCCUUGAGACGUGUAAAAUUAGCUACACAUGAUUUUGUUGUUAUUUGUGUAUUUUGGUUUUUAUUUACUUGAGAAUAAAUUCAUAGUUUGAAAUCAUUCAUGACACAGAUGUCUUCAAUCCUUGUAAAACUACAUAUUCCUACAUUAAAACAGUAGAUUCUAAGAGGGCAAUGGUGUUGUUUUGUGCUGUUGAGUCAAUUCUGACUCAUAGUGACCCUAUAGCACAGAGAAGAACUGCCCCGUAAGAUUUCCAAGGAGUGGCUGAUGGAUUCAAACUGCCGACCUUUUUGGUUAGCAGCCUGAGCUCUUAACCAUUUCACCACCAUGGCCCCAGACAAUGGUAAUGCAGUGAUUUUAAAAAUUAAAAAAAAAAAAGGAAUAUAAAUUAUUCAAAUUUCUCAUUCUACAUUCAAAGCAAUCUCAACUUUAUGGGGUUCACUUUUAUGGAAGCAUUCUUCCUGAGUUUUUUCUCACUAUAAAAUUAGAUUAAUGUAAUUAAAAAUACCAGUUCAUUGAUAUAUCCUUGUUUGUGCUGUGAUAGUCUUAGACAAGAUUUUCUAGAGAAGGAAAACCAGUGAAACGUUUGUGUAUACAUAUAGAGAGAGAGAGGAAGAGAGGGAUUCAGUUCAAGAAAAUGGCUCACAUGGUUGCAGAGGCUGGCAAGUCCAUGGGUCAAGUGUCAGGCUGGAGGUUUCUCCUGACUCAAGUAGCUGCAGGGGCCAACGAACCCAAGAAUGGCAGGUGAGACAGUAGGCUGCUGGCUCACAGGCUGCAGAGGUCAAUGAAUCUCAAGGUCAGCAGGCAAUAUGGCAGGCUGCCAGCUCAAGUCCCAAGAACAGGAGGUCAGCUGAUGAUGAGCUGGGUGCAGGAUCCAGAGUAAGUGAGCAAGCUUUGCCAGAACGUCCAUAUGUAUAUUGAAUGCAGGCCACACCCCCAAGAAAACUCCCCUUUCAAUUGAUUAGCUGAUCACAACAGAUCACAUCAUGGAGGGUGACUGCAUCAUUACAUAACUGCCAAAUUCCAUCAUUAUGUAACUGCCAAAUUAUAUCAUUACAUAACUGCCAAAUCACUGAGAAUCAUGGACCAGACAAGUUGACACACAACCUUAACCAUCACAGAUAUGUAUUUCAGUUUCUCUUUAUUUCAUUUCAUUUUCUUGGCAUGAUUGCUUGUGUAUGUGUGUGUGCAGUUCAGUAAAAGAAGCAAUUCAAUAUUUGCAUUUUUUAUCUUCUUUUUAUUCGUUUCGUUUUAUGAUUACUACUGAAAACAAUUUAGUUUUAUGAAGGCUGUUAAAAUUACUUCACCUAUGUGUUAAAUAUAGCAUAUACACUACUGUUGCCAUAUAAAACUUUUUGCUAAAUUUAUUCAUUAAAACUUUUCAUUUGUGGUUCUACUGCUUCUUUCCCACCUGUGCAGUGUAUACAUACUGUCAGAGGUCAAAUGAGUGAUAACCAAGCCUGAACUCAGGUGUUUUGAACUUACCUCCAUGGUAAUACCUUUUGAGAUUUAUUGUAUUUAUUUAAUUUCCUGAAUCAUUGCUCCAGGACUUAGAUUUUAGAGAGUAUUGCACUGCAUCUUUUUAGUGUAUUUUUUCUCUCUCCCUUCAGUUUCAAUGGAUAGAACAUUUUCUAAACUAGAGCUGUUAAACGGAAAAAUGCAUAAAAAUAAUGACACAAUGGAGGUAGUGAAAAAUGCAGAUUAUGAAAUUGUGGAAUGUUAUUUUUAAGAAUAUACAAGUAUAUUUAGGAUAUGAUGAUGUAAAUAUUUUAAUAAUUAUAUUAGAUAAAAUAGCCUGUAAUUUUUCCCCUUAAUGUAGGAAGGAUUUCAAUUUAUUUCAUUUCUAACACUGUCAGCACUGUUAUCAAAUGUGACUCUUAAUGUCUGCAAUAACGUCUAACUGGAGCCUCAUCAUUGUCCUCUGCUCUCGAUAACAUCCUGUACUCAUCAGUUUCUUUUGUGGCAUGUGUGAUUAUUUUUCCUCUGUAACCUUUUAUUGACUGCCAGAAAUGCCUAUUCACUUGAUCUUCUCUUCCCUGUUUAGUUAGAUAUUCCUUUAAAACAUAAGUCUGGCCAGAUGAAACCAUAAGCUGGCAGAUGGUUCCAAGUGAUUUUUGAUAAGGAAAGGGUUCCUGUGAACAUGUGGCUCCUCAACAGUUCCUACCCAAGACGUGAUGUACAAUUUGUGAGCUUGCAUGGGUUACGUUUCAAGUCCCAUGAAGAUAGAAAAAAAAUGAAAAUAAACACAGAUGCUUAAAAUAAGGAAC